AGAGUUUGAUCCUGGCUCAGAUUGAACGCUGGCGGCGUGCUUAACACAUGCAAGUCGUGCGAGAAAGGGGACUUCGGUCCCUGAGUAGAGCGGCGCACGGGUGAGUAACGCGUGGAUAAUCUCCCCAGAAGUUCGGGAUAACGGCGGGAAACUGCCGCUAAUACCGGAUACGCUCCAAUUUCGGUUGGGGGAAAGGCGGCCUCUGUUUACAAGCUGUCGCUUCUGGAUGAGUCCGCGUCCCAUUAGCUUGUUGGUGGGGUAAUGGCCUACCAAGGCUACGAUGGGUAGCUGGUCUGAGAGGAUGAUCAGCCACACUGGAACUGAAACACGGUCCAGACUCCUACGGGAGGCAGCAGUGGGGAAUGUUGCGCAAUGGGGGAAACCC
rnacentral:rRNA from 1 species